GGAAGCGCAGCCUCGGCGGGGCCCGGCCGGCGGCGGGGAGGUCGCGGGGCCGGGAGGCGCGAGGUUGUUCGAGAAGCUGAAAUAGAAAUCAAUUUCUUGAUUUCAGUAGGAAUAGUGAGUCCCUAAGAGGGGAGAAGCCAGGUGCUGAGCCAGGUGUUCUACAUAAAUUAUCUCAUUUGUUUUUUCUGACAACAUAAUAAGAAAAAGAAAAACAUCCAUUCAUGAGAGUUCAGGGAUACGUGAAAAUGAAGCAAAUGAGGAAAGACCCAUUCACAUUCCUCCAAAAGAUCUGUGGCUCACUGGAAUCAUGUUACUGGCUCCUGGUAGUCCCUGACUUUACCUGUUUGUUCCAGGAACUUGCUUUAUGGCCAUUUGUUCUAAUGAUCAGUUUGGACAACCAACCUUUAUUCCUCCACCUCAGACAAUAUUCAACAUCCUGUAAUCAUCAUAGCGGUGCUGCCUGCUUUCCUUGGCCACCAAGUGGAGGUGUUACCAUCUGGUGGGUCAGAGGAUCCCUUCGUUUGAGGUAGGAUAUGGAAUCGCAUCCACUCUGAUUUGUUGCCAGCAGUGUUCUCCAACUUAAUUAUCCUCUGUGAUCCACACUAAAGUAUUUUGAAGAAUAACAAAGCUCUCCAAGGGUCUUAAUACAGUUCUGGAGGUCAGUAAGUCCAAUAUCAAGGUGCCAGCAUCAGGCAUUAUGGCCAGCACACUUCCUGCGAAUUUGUACCACCACCCCUUAUCUCAUCUAUGCUUCUGCUCACAGCACUGCACUGGAGCCAGGGGAUGGAUACCUGGCACUUGUAUGUCCUAUGAAGAAAGAGAGGAGGAUACAUUGCUUCCCUAUGUAUCCUUAAGGGAUAGACCAGAGGAAAAGUUAAGUAAUAGAUAAACAAUCAAUAAUACCUAAUUGGUUUCCCAAUCAAUUAGCACUUACUGUGUUGGAUUUGUUCACUUUCAGCCAUAGUUACACCUUGAAUUUCUGUAUUUCCAAAGUGGGCUCUUUUUUUUCUAAGGAAUUUCCUCAAUUUUUUCGUGUAAGUAGGCUUCUGAGGAGUCUAUUUCACUGAUUUUUGUGAUAUAUUUAAUCAUUCCAGGGCUACAAAAUUUAAGCUGAAUUUAAAUUAUUCAUAAUAUAACAAUCUCUCUUCCUCUGUCUCUCUUUCUUUCUAUAUCUUUCAUUACAUAUAUGUAAUAAAAUAUUUUCAUUAUAUAUCUGUAUAUCUUUUAUAGAAAUCUUUUCAUUAUAUAUUUCAUAUAUAUUCAUGUAUCUUUCAUACAUU
rnacentral:lncRNA from 10 species